rnacentral:rRNA from 1 species
AAUUAACGCUGGCGGCAUGCCUAACACAUGCAAGUCGCACGAGAAAGCCCGGUUCGCCGGGCGAGUAAAGUGGCGCACGGGUGAGUAACGCGUAGGUAACCUGCCCCUGUGUUCGGGAUAACAGUGCGAAAGCGCUGCUAAUACCGGAUAUGUCCAAGGGACGGUGGUUUUUUGGACAAAGUCGGCCUCUCGCAGAAGCCGAUGCACGGGGGAUGGGCCUGCGUCCUAUCAGCUAGUUGGUAGGGUAACGGCCUACCAAGGCUUCGACGGGUAGCUGGUCUGAGAGGAUGAUCAGCCACACUGGCACUGAAACACGGGCCAGACUCCUACGGGUGGCAG